CAAAUGGCAGAACGAAAGACUUAUGAGUAGGACUAGAAAGUAGGAAAGAUGUGAACCAACACUCAAACAAGAAAGAAGGACGUACAAAGAAAAAGACUAGAAAACACAGACUCAUGACUAACAUCUCCGUGGUGUGACAUCUUCUU
rnacentral:lncRNA from 1 species